rnacentral:lncRNA from 1 species
GGAGAUGUGGGUGGAGGCAAAUCCCACCAGGAAUGGGGGAAUGCCAAGCCCCACACAGCAGCAGCACCACAGAUACCAAACAGCCAAGUGGCACCAAUGAAAGCCCCAAAUCAACAGCAGCACCAAUCACAGGGCCAGCAGCCACCAGGAGGACCCAUUCAGGGUGGGUGGAACAGCCGGUCUAAUGUUGGAGGUGGAGGCCCACAAUCCAAGAAUCAGAACCAAAGUUCAGGCUGGACAUCUGGCCCAAUACCCCAAAUUCCUGGGGGUGGGGGUGAUUCCCUUGAACCCAGUGGCUGGGAAGAACCAUCCCCUCAGUCGAUUAGUCGUAAAAUGGAAAUUGAUGAUGGCACUUCGGCCUGGGGAGACACCAACCCGCUACAACAGCAAGAAUGUCAACUUGUGGGACCAAAAACACUGCAACUCCUGGCCAAAGCCACAGUCAGCAGGCCCCACCACCAACAAUGCAGCAACAGCCACCACGAAGACAACAGGGGCAGCACAACAGGGACAUUAACUCUGGCAAUGCAUCUGCAGGCCCAGGUAUGUGGGGAGGAGGUACGCAGUCUGCGGAUAAUGGUACAGCUGCUUGGGGCCAGACUACGGAUGCAGCGACAGGUUGGGGUGACCCAGAUGAACCCAGCAAAGUUUCAGGCUGGGGAAACCCGUCUCCCAAUCCUGGUAAACCUGGCACCAAAUCAAUGGAAAACUGGGGUGGGAAGGGAGAUGGUUCCGUGA